rnacentral:rRNA from 1 species
CACGUAGGGUGCGAGCGUUGUCCGGAAUUAUUGGGCGUAAAGAGCUCGUAGGCGGUGUGUCGCGUCGGCCGUGAAAACCUGCAGCUUAACUGUGGGCUUGCGGUCGAUACGGGCAUCACUGGAGUUCGGCAGGGGAGACUGGAAUUCCUGGUGUAGCGGUGAAAUGCGCAGAUAUCAGGAGGAACACCGGUGGCGAAGGCGGGUCUCUGGGCUGAUACUGACGCUGAGGAGCGAAAGCGUGGGGAGCGAACAGG